CAGUGGGGAAUUUUGGACAAUGGGGGCAACCCUGAUCCAGCCAUGCCGCGUGAGUGAAGAAGGCCUUCGGGUUGUAAAGCUCUUUCGGCUGGGAAGAAAUCGCAUCUCCUAAUACGGGGUGUGGAUGACGGUACCAGCAUAAGAAGCACCGGCUAACUACGUGCCAGCAGCCGCGGUAAUACGUAGGGUGCGAGCGUUAAUCGGAAUUACUGGGCGUAAAGCGUGCGCAGGCGGUUUCGUAAGACAGAGGUGAAAUCCCCGGGCUCAACCUGGGAACUGCCUUUGUGACUGCGAGGCUAGAGUAUGGCAGAGGGGGGUGGAAUUCCACGUGUAGCAGUGAAAUGCGUAGAGAUGUGGAGGAACACCGAUGGCGAAGGCAGCCCCCUGGGCCAAUACUGACGCUCAUGCACGAAAGCGUGGGGAGCAAACAGGAUUAGAUACCCUGGUAGUCCACGCCCUAAACGAUGUCAACUAGGUGUUGGGAGGGUUAAACCUUUUAGUACCGUAGCUAACGCGUGAAGUGACCGCC
rnacentral:rRNA from 1 species